UCAAUUAAACAAUGUAAGCUGGCUUGCUUAGUCUACUUGUGUACUCCACUCUUAUAAAAGUGGAAAGAGAAUGAUUGUAAGGACUUUAAUAUAUACUAUACAAGGAUAAAAUCUAUUUUACUUUAAAUUUAUGUAAUUUACUGUUAGCUAAUAAAAGUAAUUUUAUAUUUAAAAUAACAAGCAAUAAGUAGGUUAAACGUGGAAGCUGAAAUAUAGUAGCAUUGCGUCGUAACUUGAACAAUUCGCAACAUACAGAACCAAGUUAUACAUCAGAUUAGCACCAUCGCUGGAAGUUUCCAUAUUGAAGAUGACCAGACCACAGAGAUAAAAAUUCUCAAACCAAUAAUUUAAUAUUCUUAUGGGUAUAGCCAUUAUUCGUAACAGAACUCGUUAAAAAUUUGACAUUACUAAAUGGCUGUACCUGAAUCAGUGGCCAAAUUUAUUAAUUUUAAUCAAUUUUUAGGUCAUCUUAAGUAUAGUCUACCUCAAGAUGUUUAAUAUAUGUGAGGUUAAAGUCCCAAGCAACAUAAUCUUAGGUGGUCUAAGUCAGACGUAUGAAAGAUGUGUGAACUAAGAAAACACAAUAAAAUUGGCACCCAGGACGGCACAGAGGCAAGAGGAGUCUUUUGAUGUGUGCUUUCUUUAUUCUCACUGUCACAUGAUAGGAUUAGAUGUGCAAUUGUUCUCAAAUUUUGCUAAUUAUAUA